UACAGAGGUGGCAAGCGUUGUUCGGAAUUACUGGGCGUAAAGGGCGCGUAGGCGGUCUUCUAAGUCUUGUGUGAAAUCCCUCGGCUCAACUGAGGAACUGCACGGGAUACUGGAUGACUUGAGUUCGGGAGAGGGAAGCGGAAUUCCGGGUGUAGCGGUGAAAUGCGCAGAUAUCAGGAGGAACACCGGUGGCGAAGGCGGGUCUCUGGGCCGAUACUGACGCUGAGGGGCGAAAGCAUGGGGAGCGAACAGG
rnacentral:rRNA from 1 species